rnacentral:misc_RNA from 1 species
GAAAUGCGAUAAGUAGUGUGAAUUGCAGAAUUCAGUGAAUCAUCGAAUCUUUGAACGCACAUUGCGCCCCUUGGUAUUCCAUGGGGCAUGCCUGUUCGAGCGUCAUUUGUACCCUCAAGCUUUGCUUGGUGUUGGGCGUCUUGUCGGAAUAUCCGACUCGCCUUAAAUACAUUGGCAGCCGGCACUUUGGCCUAGGAGCGCAGCACAUUUUGUGAUCGUAAGCCGUUGUGACAGCAUCCAUAAGAUUUAUUUUACCACGUUUGACCUCGGAUCAGGUAGGGAUACCCGCUGAACUUAAGC